UUAAUCAAUCAUAAGCAUGCUCUGUCUGGUUUGGUAUGUGGAUUGUUGGUAUGAUUCUUUGCUCAGCCUUCCUGUUCUUAUGCUCUGUCGAGCAUCCAGGACUAGCCACCGCAGUGUUUUGGCUAAACGAUGUGAACCGACCCUGUGCCUCAUCCCAGAAAUGACUCCCAACUCAGAUGACUCAUACCAUCCGUGUUUUGUCCCCAUUUACUCAGCCUCACAGUUCUACCCGCUUCAGUAGAGUGUGAUGUUCUGUGACUUAGAGCUCACCAGAAGAAUACUGACAUUCUUUCAAAUGAGCAGUCCUCAAAUGUGGCACACAGCCCUAUAGGGGUCCCUUAGACCCUUCCAGGGAGUCUUCAAGAGAUCACAGGAGGCAGUGUGCUUCAAUGGAAAGAUUAUUGGCUCUGAAACUAGAAGACCAGGGUUAAAAUCCCACCUCUCAUGCUUGGACCUCUGAUGGACCUUGGGCAAGUCACAGCCUCCCUGGGCCUCAGUUUCUUCAUCUAUAAAAUAGAGAGGUUGGAUCAUGGCUUCUGAGACCCCCUGCAGCCCUAAAUCUAUGAUACUUGCCAAAUAAGUAGCAGCAACUUGAUUUAUGCAAUACAAGUCCUUCUGAAAGUUAUGAACAAGGCUUUCUGUCUAAAAAAGCUUGCCAAGUGGUGAAUCUUCUGGUUCACACAGAUAGUCUUUUGAGUUAUCUGAUUUUGUUUAAUUGGUUUUCUUAAAGUGAGGCAUGAUUAAAGUUAGAAAUCACACUUGUAUCGUACAUGUGUAUAUAUAAAUGUGUGCAUACAUAUGUGU